rnacentral:rRNA from 1 species
AUGAUACCUACAAUUUCCUUAUCAUGCCUCCCAUAUUGCCAUGAGCCUCUAACCCACCUUGUCCUAGCAAACCGUUGUUUGGCUAUGUUACCGCUUUGCUCAUCCCCUCUUAUAGCGUUGUUAGUUGCAGGUGAAGAUUGGAGUUGUUCCAUGUUGGAACAUGGCUUGUUGUUGGGAUAUCACAAUAUCUCUUAUUUAAUUAAUGCAUCUAUAUACUUGGUAAAGGGUGGAAGAUGCCUGGUGUUUUGUUCCACUCUUGCCGCCAUAGUUUCCGUCAUAUCGGUGUUAUGUUCCCGGAUUUUGCGUUCCUAA